rnacentral:lncRNA from 1 species
CAUGGAUCUAUAUGCUGAACACGCCUCUAUUACUUUCCCCUUUUUGCAAUACUCAUUGAUCAAACCCGUGCAAAGAACCUUAUUUGGAAGUACGCCACAUUCCCGCAUCUCUUUCACAUACUUAUCUGCAGAUGCAAAUUCACUUGCCUCUAUAUAUCCACUGAUAAAAGCCCCAUAGGUGAAAGCAUUAGGCUUUAAUCCGUUCUCGACCAUUUCAACCAGAAAAGACCUUGCUUCGUCCAUUCUUUUAGCUUUUGAAAGGCCAAUUAUAAGGGAAUUGUAGCAAAAUAUGUCUGGUGCGAUUCCUUGUUCUUUCAUUUCUUUUAACACCCUCAUUGCAUCUCCAAACCUACUAUUCUGGAGAAAGGUUUUGAUCAAUGUGGUAUAUAUAACCACAUUGGGUCUGCAACCACUUGCAAUCAUUUCCUUCACAAUGUUAUAAGCUCCAUCGAGAUCCCCAGAAGAGCACAUGCCUUUCACCACUGUACCAUAAGUAUAUGGAGAUAUGACAAUGUUCCUCUUUUUCAUUUCAACAAGUAACUCAUAACCCUGACGUACAUUCUUUUCUCGACAGUAUCCUUCGAUCAGACUAGCAUAAGCCUGAGCCUGUGGUAUCAGUCCGGAUGCGAUCAUUCCAUCAAAGAGAGCCUUUGCCUUCUCCAUCACCCCUUCCUUUGACAUCACACAAAUACAACAAUCAUACAUAUAAGGUUUGAUGUUAAUACCAUGUGAAACCAUCUCAUGGACUAGUCCUUUCGCAGCAUCUGCAUUUCUACCCUUCAGUAAGCCAUCAAUCAGUAAACUAUAAGUAUGAUUAUCAAGAGACACACCUAAACUAUCCAUCUCUACCAGCAACGAUUUAGCAUCUUCUAGUCUCUUUAUCUUACACAACCCAUCUAUAAGUACAUCGUAUGUAUACUUCAAUGGCACCAAUCCUUUGCAAAUCAUCGACUCCUUAAGCUUAAGUGCUCCAUCCACAUUCAAAGUAGCCGUCCUGAAUUCUUUUUCCGUUUUAAAAAGAACAUCUUUCCCCAACUGAACAUUCCCAGCCCUACAAUGAGCAAUAAUCAACAUAUGAUAGGUCUUAACAUCAAAUACUACAUUUCUCUCAACCAUCCCCUUAUACACAUCCCAAAACAAAUCCAGCCGGUUCCACCUCAACAACGCAUCCAACAAAACUUUACAUCGUGACAAACGAGGAACCAAUUCCAAACCCAUAGAGCUAGAAAACACAAACACAGCUUCUUCUAUAUACCCUUUUGCAAUGUAUCCAUCAAACAAUAUCCCAAAUAGAACUCCAUCAUCACUCUUUCCCACAAACUCUUGUGAACAUCUCACAAUCGAACUCCAAACCUCAGCUACAGGCCAAUUUCUCUCAAUCAUCCGUUCUACAACACUAAGAGCUUUCUCAAAACUACCGAAAUUACACAAAUCCAAAGCGAGAAACGAAAACGAAUCCAAUUUCUGCUCUGUGACUUUUUGAGAAUCGACCCAGUUGAAGAAACUCAAAAGCUUAGAGGGAUCAUCGACGCGUUUGGAUCGUAAAACGGAGAGAACUACUUCUGGAUUUAUCUCGAUUGAAAGAUUCGAAGAUACCAGAGUGUCACGCCAGUUCUCUUGCUUGAGAAUUCCCGCUAUUUCAGCUGAUGCGUCGGAAAGUUUCUCAACGUUAACGGAAAACGACCGGAAAAGUAAAAAAUUCGCUCUCGUGACCAAAGUUCUCUUCCUGAACAACAUCG